rnacentral:rRNA from 1 species
GACGAACGCUGGCGGCGUGCUUAACACAUGCAAGUCGAACGGUGAAGCGCCUUCCUUUUUGGUGGGUGUGGAUGAGUGGCGAACGGGUGAGUAACACGUGAGUAACCUGCCCCCUCCUUCUGGAUAACCGCAUGAAAGUGUGGCUAAUACGGGAUAUUCUGGGUCUGUCGCAUGAUGGGUCUGGGACAGAUAUUGUUUCGGUGGGGGAUGGGCUCGCGGCCUAUCAGCUUGUUGGUGGGGUGAUGGCCUACCAAGGCGGUGAGGCGUAGCCGGCCUGAGAGGGUGGACGACCACAGUGGGGCUGAGCCGCCGACAAGCCUACGACGGGAGGCAGCAGGGGAUAAUAUUGCACAAGGGGCGGAAGGCCGAUGCAGCGACGCCGGGGUAGUGAUGGAGGCCUGCUGGUUGUGAACCUCUUUCGCCAGUGAAGCAGGCUUGCCGCGUUUGUGGGUGUGUUGACGGUAGCUGGAGAAGAAGCGCCGGCUAACUACGUG